UGUUUGAUCCUUUACGUUUAUUCUUCGUUUUAGGUAGGAGAUGUAAAUUUCUUCAUGCAAAUCCUCGUGAAAAGAAAAAAAAAAAAACAUCAGCAUGGAAGGAACAUAGAAAAGGAGAAUAAGACCAAGUUGGAUCACCCCUAAAAAAAAAGAUCAAGUUGGAUCUUUUCUCUCAUAAGGUACAAUCGAUUUCUAUUGUGAUUGAUUUUUUCAUGGAUGAAUGAAAGGGUU
rnacentral:pre_miRNA from 1 species